ACUUGCAGUUGUUAGUUUGUGGGGCCAUGUAACAGGGAGAACACCAAUCUUGUGGGGCCCAGCAACCUUGUGGGGCCCAAAAUGAGGGACCCCACUAGAAUGAUCAUCAUAUAUGGGCUCACAAGCCUCCCCUGACAUGCCUGUCGCUUUUUUAGCACAUGUCUCACAAAGUCAGAAAGUAUGGAAAAGUGUGUGUGAUGUGUGUGUGGAUUUUUUACUCACUAGUGCCCCAAGUGUUGGAAAGGUGGUAUAACAUCACACACACACACUUCCUGGUGUGUGUAAGGGUUCAGCCAAUGAGGGGCCACUAUGAAAUCUCGCGAGAUUUUUCGUGAAGUCAUUAGCGAUAUCUCAUGUCUCAGCAUACCAAAGCCAUGCAGUGUUGGCUGCUCAACUGGGAACUUUGCAGAGAAUAAGGUGACAAACUAUGAGGCCCCUGCUGUGGCUAUAGAGACAGAAGACACCCUUUCAAAUCUGUCUUCCCAUGAGGAAUCCAAUGGAGAGGAAGCCAUAGCCCAGGUAAACAAACUGCUAUCAAAAGAACCUGGACACCCGAGGAAGCGGCAGCGGUGAACCGGCAUCUACGGAGAUGCAUUACCAUGAACAGUGUUCCAGGCAAAGAGGAGUGUCAACAGUGCAUUAAUGCAGACCCUGAAGCUCUCCGAAUGCGAGACUGGAAGGCAUAUAGAAUCACUACUUUGAGACGAAAGUAUAAGUGUGAACUUGCUGAUGCACCGUCAUAUUGACAGUGUUAACAGUCUCUUCUUGUGAGGCCUCUUUGUAGGCAAUGAUAAAGUUAAUCUUGUCCCAGUGACUUUUAUUUCUGAACACUGAACAAUUGUCCAAUGAGUAACUGAAACUAUUCCGCGCCCCCACAAUCAAACGCCCGCAUGGGGAGAUUUUAGCUUUUACUUUACUAAGUUAAUAAAGACAAGAGAACAUAUUAUGUGUUAAGGAGUUUAUUUUAUGCAAUGUCGUUUGAGAAAUGGUACUAGGAAAGCGUUGAGUAGUGUUGAGCUGGAGUUCAUUAUAUUAAUGAAAUUUAAUGCCCCAUAUACCUUAUGAUGAUCUUUGGUUACAAUGACAUCGAGCCCUACAAUGUCUUUGAUAAGCAACAAAAAAUAUGUAAACAUGUUAUUUCCAUCAGAAGACAUUGUGUCUUGCGAAGAUACAAAGUCUAGAAAUGGUUGUCUUGCUAAGAUAUUAAAACUAGGAUUGUGUAUGUGUGUGUGAAAGAGGGACUCGCAAGUUUUGAAUGUUAGAAACAGAACCCCACAAAGUGACAAAAAAACUAGCAAGAGAAAAAAAGUUCUGAAUUUUAACAAAUUAAAGUGAUGGUAAUUAUAUAGAUUUUUUUUUCAUCUUACUGGAUUUUUUACAAUGUUGUAGCACUGCCAGAAAGGGUGGAUCCCACAUUUGGGUAAAAUAAGUUCGGGCCCUACAAAGGAGGAACACGAGUAUGUGUGUGUGUGUGUGUGUGUGUGUGUAAGUAAGGAAUGGAUCCAGCGGAACAACAGCCAAACCCUCCGCUGGUUUUCACAGUUUAAGACCGGCCGCUCACUGUAACACAACAUAAUAAGUCCGUAUAAAUGAUAGCGCUGCAGAUUAGUGAUGCUCUUCGCUGCAUGAGGAUGAGGAAUUGGUCGCAGUAACGCUUCCAGAUGUUGCUUACAAAGAGGUUUUAAUGUUGAAAACUGAGAGCGAAGUUAUCUUUUCCCUCGGCGUUCUCCCUGUUUUCCCCCAGAUCCACUUUGCAUUGACGAACAACGUUUCAAAAAAGCCUUACAUGGACUCACUGUAUCCUCCCAGGAGUAUUUCUGGAGCUGAUGUAAUGACUCAUUGCUAUGCACAUUUAGAGUCGAUUGUCAUGGUAAAAAAAAGUGGGAGUUACAUGUUUCUUUAGGCACAGGGGAUACUUUUGCAAAUCACUAAGUCUCAUCUAAGCCUUGAAUCGUAUCCCAAGUUGUUUCUGAAGGAAGGAUUGUGGCCACCAAUGCAUUUAUUGCAGACUCUUGUGGUUUUCCAUAUGAGUUUUAGGCCUUUACAAGUGAUCUAGACAAUCAUUCACUGCAUAUUUGUUAACAAGUCAUCAUAAAACCU